rnacentral:rRNA from 1 species
UGGGGAAUAUUGCACAAUGGGCGCAAGCCUGAUGCAGCCAUGCCGCGUGUAUGAAGAAGGCCUUCGGGUUGUAAAGUACUUUCAGCGGGGAGGAAGGGAGUAAAGUUAAUACCUUUGCUCAUUGACGUUACCCGCAGAAGAAGCACCGGCUAACUCCGUGCCAGCAGCCGCGGUAAUACGGAGGGUGCAAGCGUUAAUCGGAAUUACUGGGCGUAAAGCGCACGCAGGCGGUUGAUUGAGUCAGAUGUGAAAUCCCCGGGCUUAACCCGGGAAUUGCAUCUGAUACUGGUCAGCUAGAGUCUGGUAGAGGGGGGUAGAAUUCCAUGUGUAGCGGUGAAAUGCGUAGAGAUGUGGAGGAAUACCGGUGGCGAAGGCGGCCCCCUGGACAAAGACUGACGCUCAGGUGCGAAAGCGUGGGGAGCAAACAGG